rnacentral:ribozyme from 1 species
UAGAAAUGCAGCACUGGUACGGGUACGGAUCCGACGCCUCUCGUAGGAUACUUAGGCUCUCCGUACCCUACUCCUACUCAAAACGUCCCCGACGUACAUAUUCGUGUUUCUUAUCCCGUUUCUCUCGAUUAGUGAUAGCGUAGUGAUCUGUUCACUGGCACCGAUAGGUAAAAAUCCUUUCAAAAUACUAUACGAAACUAAAAGAC